GUGUCUGGAACCAAAUCUGCAGCAUCUCCAAGGACAUAAUCAGAAGGAAAUAAAAUGGCAUAGACUAGCCUAAGAUAGGAAGCUGAAAUUUCCAUCUCAAUAGCAACGCAAUGGUGAGAGCAAAUUAACUUGGAAUACAUCUGAUUUAGCAAAAUAUUACUGGCAGUUUUUAUGAUGAUCAUUCUUAUGAA